UUGAAGCUUUCUUGGGAAGAGACCAGAUGC
rnacentral:piRNA from 1 species